AAGUCAUAACAAGGUUUCUGUAGGUGAACCUGCAGAAGGAUCAUUAAAGAAUUUGAGCACUGCUCUGCGUAUCACAUACUUCACCGUAUGUGAUGCGCAUCUUUAUUUUCCACACCAAGCUACGGAGAGUCAACUUAUGUUCACUUGUCCGGAAGGGACUGGUAGUCUCGACUACCUUUCCCGCCCUCUUUUAAACUCAUACUUAUAAAGAAUGAUCAACCUAUUGUCUUCGGACAUGAAUAAUAUACAACUUUUGACAACGGAUCUCUUGGUUCUCC
rnacentral:misc_RNA from 1 species